GUCUUAUAUGCUAUAUAGUUUAAUUAAUAUAUUGUUUAUAGGCAAUAUUGUAAUGUUUGUUAUUGAUCACAUAAAAUAUGAUUGUUUUUAUAAGUACAUUAUGUUUCCACCUCAUUUCUCUGUUAUGAAGGGAAAUGCAAGAAAAUACAGCUUUAUUCCAUUUCACUGUCUUAAAAUCUUCAGUUGUUUUAAUAACUUAAUUUUAGCAGACAUGAUAAAAUGAUGUUAAAUAAGGACCUGUUAUAAUUGUUCUGCAAAAGAUCACCUGGCUGAGAAAAGUUUCAGCAAUGAACUGGAUCUAAUAAAUAAUUUUUUUAACUUUCCUCAUAUCAUUAACUUUCAUUCUUCUCCAACUUUUCAAAGCUAUUCCCUCUAUUGGCUAAACCUCUAAACUAUUCAUUUUAUAAAUACUAUAUUUAGUCAAGCAUUCAUCCAUAAUUCUUAACAAUUCAAG
rnacentral:lncRNA from 1 species